rnacentral:rRNA from 1 species
GACAGAGGGUGCGAACGUUGUUCGGAAUUACUGGGCGUAAAGCGCGUGUAGGCGGCAGCGUAAGUCGGGCGUGAAAUCCCACGGCUCAACCGUGGAAGUGCACUCGAAACUGCGCAGCUAGAGUCCUGGAGAGGAAGGUGGAAUGCUUGGUGUAGAGGUGAAAUUCGUAGAUAUCAAGCGGAACGCCGGUGGCGAAGGCGGCCUUCUGGACAGUGACUGACGCUGAGACGCGAAAGCGUGGGGAGCAAACAGG